AUUGAACGCUGGCGGCAGGCCUAACACCUGCAAGUCGAGCGGAGCGGCGGACGGGUGAGUAAUGCCUAGGAAUCAGCCUGGUAGUGGGGGAUAACGUCAGGAAACGGGCGCUAAUACCGCAUAAUAUCAGACGAGACUAGGUCGGAUUAGCUUGUUGGUGGGGUAAAGGCCUACCAAGGCUACGAUCCGUAACUGGUCUGAGAGGAUGAUCAGUCCCACUGGAACGGAGACACGGUUCAGACUCCUACGUGAGGCAGCAGUGGGUAAUAUUGGACAAUGGGCGAAAGCCUGAUCCAGCCAUGCCGCGUGUGUGAAGAAGGUCUUCGGAUUGUAAAGCACUUUAAGUUGGGAGGCGUUACCAACAGAAUAGGCACCGUCUAACUUCGUGCCAGCAGCCGCGGUAAUUC
rnacentral:rRNA from 1 species